rnacentral:rRNA from 1 species
CCUACGGGAGGCAGCAGUGGGGAAUUUUGGACAAUGGGCGCAAGCCUGAUCCAGCAAUGCCGCGUGAGUGAAGAAGGCCUUCGGGUUGUAAAGCUCUUUUGUCAGGGAAGAAACGGUGGGGGCUAAUAUCUCCUACUAAUGACGGUACCUGAAGAAUAAGCACCGGCUAACUACGUGCCAGCAGCCGCGGUAAUACGUAGGGUGCAAGCGUUAAUCGGAAUUACUGGGCGUAAAGCGUGCGCAGGCGGUUUUGUAAGUCUGUCGUGAAAGCCCCGGGCUCAACCUGGGAAUUGCGAUGGAGACUGCAAGGCUUGAAUCUGGCAGAGGGGGGUAGAAUUCCACGUGUAGCAGUGAAAUGCGUAGAGAUGUGGAGGAACACCGAUGGCGAAGGCAGCCCCCUGGGUCAAGAUUGACGCUCAUGCACGAAAGCGUGGGGAGCAAACAGGAUUAGAUACCCUGGUAGUCCACGCCCUAAACGAUGUCUACUAGUUGUCGGGUUUUAAUUAACUUGGUAACGCAGCUAACGCGUGAAGUAGACCGCCUGGGGAUCGGUCGCAAGNUUAAAACNCAAUGAAUUGACGNUGNGAGNGCGAGACGACGACGAGGAGGAGG